GGCCGUAAGGAGCGGAGGGAUAACUCAAGUCACCUGUAUUGGAAAUCAGUUUGCUGAAGUUAUUCAAACAGAGUUCUUGAAGUUGAAGAAAAGGAGGUUCCACCCCGUGGCGAGAGAAGUGUGGCCCUUCUUGGAAACCCUCUGGACACACCCUCCUAAGCAUCCUCUAAGAAAGAUGCGGCAGCUCAAAGGGAAGCCCAAGAAAGAGACGUCCAAGGACAAGAAGGAGCGGAAGCAGGCCAUGCAGGAGGCCCGGCAGCAGAUCACCACGGUGGUGCUGCCCACGCUGGCCGUGGUCGUGCUGCUCAUCGUGGUGUUCGUGUACGUGGCCACACGCCCCACCAUCACGGAGUGAGCGCCGCGGCCGGCGCAGACUCUGUCGGCAGGGAGAGGAGGUGCGGGAGGGGAGCAAACAAUGGCUUUCGUAUUCAGAGAUGUUCAUGAUGCUGAGCUCUGAGCAGGAGCACCCUGUCUUCUCUGGGUUUUUACUUGAUUAAAAUUUCCCCACUUUUCUUGGGAGGGAAUAGGGAACGUUUUAUCAGUGAAUGUGCCAUACACCUAUGGUCCACUUCAUGUGCCUUUCAGACUUCAAAGCAGUGUGUUUCUUUUUCUCUCCUACAAUCAGUAAGCAGCUCCACCUGGGAGGCGGAGCCUCUGGGUCGUGCCGCAGCCGGAAUCCGUGCUCACCUCAUCCCCAUUGUUGCAACAUGGCUCUUUCCUACACGUGUUCACAAUCUCCAAAGGGACUGUAUUUCUUCUCUAUGCUUAAUGUGAUUUGAAAUAUGUUGAUUCAAAGUGAAAUAUUUAUUUUUUGAAUAAAGGAGAUGAUAAUAGCCUUAAA